AAUAUACCAGUAUGGUUUUGUUAAUAUUCCUAUAUCCAAUACUAUCUGCAGACUUAAUGCUUUUUCUUUUUGCUUAUUUCUUUUCUCUUUGAUGCUACUCAUAAGUUUCUUCUUCCCUCUCUAUUUCUGUGCCAACUUUAGGUUGAGUUGAGACAAUGUGCUUGACAGGUAAACCUGUAAUUUGUGAUUGGAUAAUAAAGCAUUAUUAUCUGAAACUUGUUCUUACAGAUACCUUUAGAAAAUGCUUGAAGAGGCCAGGUGCGGUGGCUCACGCCUGUAAUCACAGCACUUUGGGAGGCCAAGGCAGGUGGAUUCCUUGAGCCCGGGAGUUCAAGACCAGCCUGGGCAAAUAACAAGACUAUUUAAAAGAAAAAAAAAAGAAAACACUUGAAGAACCUGAAUGUAUUGAAUUAGAGUUGGAAGGAACCCUAAAAAUAGUUUUCUUUCUUCUUUUUUUUUUUUUUUUUUUUUUUUUUUUUGAGACAGAGUCUUACUCUGUCACCCAAGCUGGAGUGCAGUGGUGCGAUCUUGGCUCACCACAACCUCCGCCUCCCAGGUUCAAGUGAUUCUCCUGCCUCAGCCUCCCGAGUAGCUGGGAUUACAGGUGCAUGCCACCAUGCCUGGCUAAUUUUUGUAUUUUUAGUAGAGAUGGGGUUUCACCAUGUUGGUCAGGCUGGUCUUGAACUCCUGACCUCAUGAUCCGCCCACCUCGGCCUCCCAAAGUGCUGGCAUUACAGGCGUGAGCCACUGCGCCCAGCCAAAAUAAUUUUCUAGAUAAUAUUUAAAUUACUCCAAGUAUGAUCUUCAGAGGAAAAGAUUAUAUGAUGUGGAAACCCCUUUUCUAAACUAUUGUAGAAUUUGAAUAAUACUCAUUUUCAGAAUUCUCUGCAACAGAACAACAUCUCUUUAGACUGUAGUUUGUUAGGUUUUUGCUCUGAGGAGACAGAACAGUUGCUGCUUUACCAUUUGUCUUUUACGUGCUUAAAAUAAAAUUAUAAAGUCUUUCUUCAGCCUUCUUAUACCCAGUUUCUUUAAUCUUUCCUAUGGUUCCUGUUUCUCUACUUUUUCCCUGUGGUUUCUUGUGAAAAUAUAAAUCCUCCAUGCUGCUUUGUUUAAAUAGCACUAUGUAAACUCUAAAGUGUUAUGCAAAUGAUAAGUUAUUUUAUUAUUACAAAGAUGGUAGACCCUUGAACUGCACGUUUAUGAAAGUAGUUCAGUGCUUGCUUUGUUGUUGUUUUGGUUUUUUUGAUUCCCAAGUUCUGCCUUAGGAUCUCCAAUGCUUGCUUUUAAUGGUUCUUGGACAAUCAAUGCUGUUACUGAAAAAUUUGGAGUUCAUAUCUUUAUACUCCAUGGUCCAUAUCUCAUCACUUUCCUAAUUCUUAUAACCAUUUUAUUUAAAUUCAGUUCUGAUGAACAUACACCAGUGGAGGAUGAAGAGCCAAAGAAAAGCACUACUUCAGCUUCUACUUCAGAAGAAGAAAAAAAGAAGAAGUCUAGCCAUUCAAAAGAAAGGUCCAAGAAAAGGAGAAAGAAAAAAUCAUCGAAAAGAAAACAUAAGAAGUAUUCUGAAGAUAGCGACAGUGACUCUGAUUCUGAAACAGACUCCAGUGAUGAAGAUAACAAAAGGAGAGCAAAGAAAGCCAAGAAAAAGGAAAAGAAGAAGAAACACAGAUCGAAGAAAUAUAAGAAAAAGAGGUCUAAGAAGAGCAGAAAAGAGUCCAGUGAUUCAAGCUCUAAAGAAUCCCAAGAAGAGUUUCUGGAAAAUCCCUGGAAGGAUCGAACAAAGGCUGAAGAACCAUCAGAUUUAAUUGGCCCAGAGGCUCCAAAAACACUUACCUCUCAAGAUGAUAAACCUUUGAACUAUGGCCAUGCUCUGUUACCUGGUGAAGGUGCAGCUAUGGCUGAAUAUGUAAAAGCUGGAAAACGUAUCCCACGAAGAGGUGAAAUUGGCUUGACAAGUGAAGAAAUUGCAUCAUUUGAAUGCUCAGGUUAUGUAAUGAGUGGUAGCAGGCAUCGCCGAAUGGAGGCUGUGCGACUGCGAAAAGAGAACCAGAUCUACAGUGCUGAUGAGAAGAGAGCCCUUGCAUCCUUUAACCAAGAAGAGAGACGAAAGAGAGAGAACAAGAUUCUGGCCAGUUUUCGAGAAAUGGUUUACAGAAAGACCAAAGGGAAGGAUGACAAAUAAAGAUUUUCUGAUUGUCCAGAAGACAUUUUUAACAACAAAAAAGAAAGUCUGGGUUCCACACAUACAUAGAAAAAGAUUAUUAUGUUCUGAGAAAGCUUUACAGUGCUACUGUGCCUUCUAUUUAAUUCUUUCAGUCCUUCAAUAAAAAGCUGCUUAUUGAUAUAACUUU
rnacentral:sRNA from 1 species